AUGACGACGGUUGAGUUGGAGGUUCGGUUUCAGUUUCGGAGUGCGUUGCAUGCAGCUGUGAUGGGGGCGGUUGAGGACCAGGUGGCGGGGAUGAUGAUUGAGGCGUUUGAGAAGAGGGUGAGGGACUUGGAGAAGGUGAAGGUGAAGGCCGGUUGAGGAGUUCGUGCGUGUAUGGCAAUGGGUGUAUGGUGAGGUUUUUUUCUGAGCUACUUUCAUCAUAGACGGGGUAAGUUGGGUUGGAGAUAUUCCUGGGUGAAAUGUUCCUUGUUGCAGGGAAAUCCAUUCUGGGAUGGCUUGGAAAAAGGAAAGGUAUAGAUAACCGUCUAUAUCGCCAAAUUUCUAACAGCACAGGUGAUAUGGGGGUGUAAAUGUUUAGUGGGACAACAAAAAGCAUGAACAUAAUGAGAUAUACAUGUAUAAUACAGAAUAGACAGACAUAGAACCCAAUCCAACUUUAUUCUUGCAUUCAUAUUCGGGUUCUUUAAUUUGCAUUUCCCGUUGAAAUAUCAACUUAGAACCUCGCACCCCGCCUGUACGACGAUCUCGCAGUGCCCGCGCGUGUUGAAAUCGGCCCAGCUUGAGAGGAAUUGUGAGCCACUUCGUCCCAGUUGAUCCUAUUCCACCAUGAUUCCAAAAACUGAGCUUUUCCGCCAACGCCCCAGUCCGGAAGCCACACAUGCUCCCAGGUAUUCACACAG
rnacentral:sRNA from 1 species